rnacentral:rRNA from 1 species
CCUACGGGGGGCAGCAGUGGGGAAUAUUGCACAAUGGGCGCAAGCCUGAUGCAGCGACGCCGCGUGCGGGAUGGAGGUCUUCGGGUUGUUAACCGCUUUUGUUCAAGGGCCAGGCACGGUCUUUGGCCGCGUUGUGUGGAUUGCUCGAAUAAGCUCCGGCUUACUACGUGCACGCAGCCGCGGUAAUAAGUAGGGUGUAAGCGUUAUCCGGUUUUAUUGGGCGUAAAGGGCUAGUAGGCGGUUCGUCGCGUCCGGUGUGAAAGUCCAUGGUGUAACGGUGGAUCCGCGCCGGGUACGGGCGGGCUUGAGUGCGGGAGGGGAGACUGGAAUUCCCGGUGUAACGGUGGAAUGUAUAGAUAUCGGGAAGAACACCGAUGGCGAAGGCAGGGCGCUGGGCCGUUACUGACGCUGAGGAGCGAAAGCGUGGGGAGCGAACAGGAUUAGAUACCCGGGUAGUC